rnacentral:miRNA from 1 species
AGCGCCAUUUUCAGAGCUAU